rnacentral:hammerhead_ribozyme from 1 species
GCACUGCCGAUGAGUCCCAUAAUAGGACGAAACGGCCGUCCAGUGU